rnacentral:sRNA from 1 species
AUGUGCGUCCCUCACCGCUCCAUGUGCGUCCCUCCCGAAGCUGCGCGCUGGGUCGAAGAGGACGACCUUCCGAUAGAGGAGGACCGUUCUUCGGUCAAGGGUAUGCGAGUAGCUGCGCUCCCCUGCUAGAACCUCCAAACAAGCUCUCUAGAAACAAAAUGUUAAAGCAUAACACUACUUAGAAUCACCCCAGAGAAAAUGAUAUUUAAAUAUAU